rnacentral:tRNA from 1 species
CGGCGGCGUCGGCGGGGCCGGCGUCAAUGGCGGUAUGGGCGCAGCAGGAGGUGCCGGCGGCAACGCCUACCUGUUCGGUUCUGGCGGCGCGGGC